GAACUUGAGGCAGGGGAGACACCAUGAUCAAGCAGGUGGUUUUCCCAGGGCGAGGCUCAUCCCUUGCACUCCAGGUGUGCUGAACCCUGCCAUUUCCCCAAAUGUGGAAACUCGACUGCAUAAUUUGUGGUAGAUUUGGGUCUUUUUUAAUAGUCAGGA